UAGCUGCCUUCCAAGCAGUUGACCCGG
rnacentral:piRNA from 5 species